rnacentral:lncRNA from 10 species
ACGCAUGCGCAGGGCCGGCCGCCCGGCCGCACCUCGCCAACUCCUACUCGGACACGUCAUCUAGAAUAAUUUGGACAGCCUUUUCUGAGUUUCCCAUGACGACUUCUGUAUAAGAUUGUCGGAUAUAGCAAAUAAAAGUACAGUAUACCCAGUGCGUUUUGUUCAAUUCUUUGUUCAAAACCCCAAGAAUCUGGACAACUUGCACUCAAGACCCUCUACGGGUUUGGCGAGCCAGUCUUUCAGUGGCUGUUUUCUAGUAGCUCCUUGGCAAUUGAGGGGAACUGGCUGGGACCACUCUCCAGUGCUGUCUGAAGGCCAAGGAGUGAACAGGGAUGGCUGCCCUGCCUUGAAGAGGGAAGGACUCUUUUCUAUCCUUUCCAGCUAUAGUCCCUGAUCCCUACAUGUGAUGCGGUUGGCAGCGGAAGCUCAUCCUGGGCGAACUCACACACUUUUCAGGAGACUUAAACCUUUUCUUAUGCUAAGUUCUUCCCUUCCCCUACUCAUCUGGCUAAAGGACAGACUAUGCAAAAAAGGUUAUACAAGUCAGAGGGUCUGAGCAUGUCGGAGGUGGUCUGU